UACGGAGGGGGCGAGCGUUAUUCGGAAUUAUUGGGCGUAAAGGGCGCGUAGGCGGCUGGGCAAGUCAAAGGUGAAAUCCCUCGGCUCAACUGAGGAACUGCCUUUGAAACUGCCUGGCUUGAGGCCGGGAGGGGGUAGCGGAAUUCCCAGUGUAGCGGUGAAAUGCGUAGAUAUCUGGAGGAACACCGGUGGCGAAGGCGGCAUCCUGGACCACGACUGACGCUGAGGAGCGAAAGCCAGGGGAGCAAACGGG
rnacentral:rRNA from 1 species